AUGACACAGAACAUUGGCAACACUUCUAAGUCUUGUUUAUAGAGCUAAAUUAAUUUAGUUGAUAAAAUCUGACUUGAUAACAUACAUGUACGUGCAUGCACACACACACGCACGUGCGUACGAGCAGAAGAUUUGCGAAGGCUGGGAGAAGUGAGGUGAGUAUGUUCCACUGGAUGUACAAUUUUGGUCUGUAUGAAGGACAAAGUGCAAAACAACAGAGAAAAGCUGGAUAAAAGGAAAAUCAGAUGUGAUGAGUCUGAAAUAAAUCUUCAUAGAAUGCAUAUAGAGGAUGACUGUGAAAUGAAGAAAUACAAAAUCAUCUAAUUGGAGGGAGCCAGAAGAAAAAUCCAGGAGAAAGAACACCAAGCGAUCAGACAAGUAGCAAGAUGGUGUGAUCAGAGAAAACCAUUCCAAUGAAAUGAAAGAACAAAUCGUAGAUACUGAUGAUGUAGUAGUAAUAAUAAGAUCAUUAAUAACCACUCAAGAUUAUUUACAUUUGAUGGAUAUUUGUCCUCAUCUUGUUUGUUGUUAACACAACGUUUCAGCUGAUAUACCCUCCAGCCUUCAUCAGGUGUGUUGGGGGAAAUUUCGAACCUGGGUUCUCAUUCCUAAGGAAUUUAGUAUGAGUGGAAAUUUGAGAAACAGUGAAUGAAAAUGGAUCAUGAAGCAGAACUGGAAAACAGAGAAUGCGGAAAUGGUUAGAUAGAAAUGAACCGAAGAAUUUCAAAGACCACCACUGUGAAGAUUAACAGUUUGCAGAAUACAUGACAAAUUUGUACAGACUGGGCCCAUUUGUAAUGCACAGACAAGUGGUCAACUGGUCAGUGUUAUGACUGAAGAAGAUGAAAUGCUUGUGGCUCAAACAUUUGCUUAACUGUCCCCAGAAAUCAAAAUAAAAGGGGCUUCUGAUGAACUAGGCAAUUCCCACAAAUCACUUUGUCAACUUAUGAAUCACUUAGAAACAGAGAAAUGAAAAAGACAUUCCACUCAUAUUAAACAACUGUUUUCCCACCGUUAUAGAUCUGUUGUAUGUAUACACAUAUGUGUCAAGUAUUUGUAGAAACACAAUAUAAUACCUACAAAUGCCUUUAGAUCUUAAAAUUGACCUACUUGAGACGACUCUGGUGCUGGAAAAAAGUUUCCAUCUUACAAGGGUAAAAAAACUCAAUCUUUCUGUUGUUUUUACAGCUAUACUGUGCUAAAAAUUUACUCUCUUGUCUGUAAAAUACCAAACACAACUGACACUUCCAAAGUGUGUUUAUAAAAUGUUAUCGCAAAAGUUUUAA